rnacentral:rRNA from 1 species
GACGAACGCUGGCGGCGUGCCUAAUACAUGCAAGUAGAACGCUGAAGAGAGGAGCUUGCUCUUCUUGGAUGAGUUGCGAACGGGUGAGUAACGCGUAGGUAACCUGCCUUGUAGCGGGCGAUAACUAUUGGAAACGAUAGCUAAUACCGCAUAACAAUGGAUGACACAUGUCAUUUAUUUGAAAGGGGCAAUUGCUCCACUACAAGAUGGACCUGCGUUGUAUUAGCUAGUAGGUGAGGUAAUGGCUCACCUAGGCGACGAUACAUAGCCGACCUGAGAGGGUGAUCGGCCACACUGGGACUGAGACACGGCCCAGACUCCUACGGGAGGCAGCAGUAGGGAAUCUUCGGCAAUGGGGGCAACCCUGACCGAGCAACGCCGCGUGAGUGAAGAAGGUUUUCGGAUCGUAAAGCUCUGUUGUAAGUCAAGAACGGGUGUGAGAGUGGAAAGUUCACACUGUGACGGUAGCUUACCAGAAAGGGACGGCUAACUACGUG